GUCUCCAACUGUCCAAAUCUCUGACAAUAUGAACAUCAAAAUGAAUAUUAAAAGAAUGAAAUAUAAUUAACUAAAUAAAAUAGAAACCAUUAGGCCAUUUAAAUAUGAAUAAAUAAAUGAAAAGUUUGAUGAAAAACAAAAUAAGCACUAGUAUCAAAGAAUACAAAAUAGCAGUUACAAACAAAAACACAUAAAUUUUUAGUAAAAAGUCCAACAGGCAGUACUUUAAUCAAGUGAUUCAGUUGAGCAACAUUAGAAAUGGGAUUAAUUUAAAUCAUGUAAUACCAGACUGGAUGAAAUAAGAAGUCAGUCUCACUUGUGUGCUAUUCCUACCAAAGACAUAUAACAUGAAACUAAACAUGAGAAAUGUCACACAAACCCAAAAUGAAAGACAUAAUUAAAAUAACUGGCUUAUAAUAUUUAACUCAUUGUAAGUUAAGCAUCAACUAUGUUGGUUCCAGACUGAGAAGACUAAUUUUCAUUACAAAAUUUUCCAGUGAUUUUCUAACGUGCAUUUAUCACAUAGAUUACUUAUAUCAACUUCUUCACUGAAAUUUUUAAAUAAAGAAUACAUGUUUUUAAAAAUUUGAACAGUCUGAUGUAGAAAUUCCAUUUCUAGGUAUACAAUCUAGAAAAGCACUUGAAUGUACAAUGAGGCAUCUAGAAGGGUAUUUAUGGCAGCAUUUUUAUAAUGAUAAAAACAGGAAAUACAUGUAAAAUAAUCUGAAAACAUGCAAUGAAAUAUCCAUCUAAAGAAAAACUAUGUAGCAGUUAAAUACACACACACACACACACACACGUACACACACGGAACUUGAUUGACAAGAUAUCUGUUGAACAAAGGAACUAUUGCUAUAGAGCCACAUACAUGAUACCUUUUAGUGUAAAAUAAAUAAACUAUCCAUAUUCUAGGUCAAAACAGAAUGCACAUCAAACUGAUGUAGUAAUAGAGUGUCUACCUCCUAGGAAGGUGUGAUCUUUAGUCUUAUGAGACUUUUAAUUUUUUAAAUGAGGAAACGUACUUGUUAGUUUGGGUGUCUUGUUUUGUUUUGGUUUUGGUAGAAAGAUACACUCCCCCACCCCCCCACACACAAUGUUCAUGGACUAGGAAAAUUGCUAUUGUUACAAUUGCUGAGCUAUCCAAAGAAAUCUACAGAUUCAGUGCAAUUUCCACCAAAAUAACAAUGAUAUUCUUCACAGAACUUGGGGGGCGGGGAUCUUAAAAUUCAUAUGGAAGCACAAAAGAGCACAAAGAGACAAAUUCUGAGCAAAAGGAUCAAUGCUGGAGGCAUCACAAUACCUGAUUUCAAAAUAUACUAUAGAGCCAUAGUAACAAAAAUAAAAUUAUAUUGGCAUAAACAAAAAUAUAUAAGCUAGUGGAGUAGAAUAGAGAGUGCUGAGAGCCAUAGCCAAGUAGGAAUUACGCAUGGCAAUUUCCUUGUCAGCCUACCCAAUGUUGCUUAGAGGGAGGACUCUCCAUUGUGGAAAUGGGCUUGCCUUGGACCCAGGUCAUUUGCAGUGACAUUGCAUGAAUGUUUGAGAAAGGUGACCAUGCUCAAGGACCAGGGUGGAUCCGGGUUUAGGGUGGAUCUGGGUUUAGGGUCAAUCCUGCUGGUAAUAGGGUGGUUCCAGGUUUAAGGUGGAUCCUGCUGGGAAUAGGGAGUAUCCUGCUGCCUCAGGCGCCCGCUCCUUGAGUUCCCAUUGAGUUCUCCUGGGAUUCAGAGAGUAUUUGGUAUGCAGAGCCCAGUGGAGUGUGUGGAUUUUCCCAGAAUGUGCCUGUAGAGUGCCGGUGACAGUUUGAGAAUAAAGAAUUGCUAUUUGAAUCUACAAGGCUGUGAGUGGCUCGUGAUUUUGCCAGCCAGACAGCGGCAAGAGAGUCCAAAAAAUAAAUUCACACAUCAACAGUCAACUUACUCAUCAGAGAGAAGGCAAAAAUAUGUAUUAAAGAAAAGACAGCCUCUUCAACCAAAGGUACUUGGAAAACCAGAUAUCCACAUAAAGAUUGAAACUAGAUCCUUCUCUUUCACCCAGUAUAAAAAUCAACUCAAAAUGGACCAAAAACCUUAAUAUAAGAUCAAAGCUCCAAAACUACUAGAGGGAAACAUAGGUGAAAUACAUUAAGAUAUCAGCACAGGCAAAGAUUUCCUCAGGAUUCUAAUAGCUCAGGAAACAAAAGAAUGGCUAUUAUCAUUAAAAAAAAAAAUAAAUGCUUGUGAGGAUGUGGAGAAAAAAGGAAUCCUGAUAUUCUAUUGGUGGGACUGUAAAUUAGUACAGCUACCAUGGAAAACAAUAUGGAGGUGUCCUUAAAAAACUAAAAAUAGUACUACCAUUUGAUCCAGCUAUAACGUUCUUGGGUAUAUACCUGAAGAAAAUGAAGACAAUGUACAAAAGAUACAGCUUAUAAUAACACAAAAAUGUGUAUGAAUAGUGUGUUUUUCCUUUUAAGGGCAUAUUUUUAAGCAAUGUAAAAGAUAAACUUAGCAAUAUCUGAAAAGAAACAUCAAAAUAUUAAGACUAAUUGUUUUGAGGCUGGAAAUCUGUGGGGUUCUUCUACUUUUUCAUUUCUUUCAAAUUUGGUACAUAUUACUCUCUAAAACAGAAAAUUACUAAAAGGAUUCCCUUCUAUGUCUUCCGAAUCUAAGCAUGAUUAGAUUUGGAAGAGGUAGAAUUACAAAACCGCACAGUAGGAAUUCAAUAAAUAAAUGAAUGUAUCAUUAAACAAAGAAUUACCUUAAAAAAGUUUGCAGUCCUAUCUACUGCAGAGCCUCAGAUCUUAUGGUCCUGGAUCUUUAAGGGAGUGACAAACAAUUCUGCUUCUACACCUUAGGAGCAGACCUCAUUUCUGUCAGCCUUGGCACUAGGUCUUGAUAAGCUUUUUCCAGGGUACCCACCAACCACUCCUACUAGACUCACUGGAGUCCAUGUGAGACAGCAGAUUGAAGCAACUGUUGAGUCCUAUGAAAACAAUGAGUUCUGAGCAUCCAUCUUCUAGUUUCUAGUCCUACAGAAUUAGGGAUGAUGCUUUCUUAAAGCAGCAUUUGGACUGGCACUUGGACCCUUACACAGUUCCUUCUAUCCACUGCAGGCAUUGCCAAGGCACUGGGCUCUCUGAGCCUGGCAAAGCCCAUGAGGUAACUGCAGAAGGCCCUGGGCCCACUCCUUAACUUGGGUCCUACCUGAACAGAGCUCUUCAUUUACUAGUUCAUUCCACUUCUCAUGCCCAGUCCUGUCAUUAAGGAUUAGUAUCUCCCACGUCAUAUAUGAGCUAAGAGACUUAGGUUAUGUGACUUAGGUAAGGGCACACAGCCUGUGCGAUGUGAAGCCUUAACAGCUGUCACUAUUGUUCUCUAAUUAGUAUAAUCUUCCUCCAUGAGUAUUUCCCAGGCACAGCCCCACAUAUAGGCCUCUGAGCCAUUUCUGAGUUGCUGGAGUGCAGCAGCUUUGCAGCCUGUAGGCUCCACCUCCGGGUCAGUCAUGGAGGUGAAGGGAAAAAGAUCCUUCAGACAGAGCAGGAAGAAGGUCACUCAGGUGACAGAAACCCCUGGCAGAACCUCAUCUGGAGACAAAUCACAACUCUUAUCUUCAGGAAGUAAAGGAAAAGGGAUCAAGAAGACAGAGCUGAGACCCACUGCCAACAUUAAGAAGCCAAACAACGACUUCUCUGGCCCCGCCCACACAGCCCUGCCCUGCCCCCAGCAGAGGCCCGCCCCGGCAUCACUCCAGCCCCCAGCAUCGCCUCACCCCAGUGCAUCCAUCUGAAAUCCUCCCCAUUGCUUCUUCACCCCUCCAGAUGUUUCUGAGCCCCACUAGAUUCUAAUUACCAAAUGCUGGGUACAAAGCCAUCAAUAAGGUAGACAUGGUCGCAUCCUGGGAGGUAGAAUUUAAGCUUAAUGUCCCAACACACUGCUGUGAAUUGGAAAGCACGGACAGAUUCCAGCCUGGGAGAAUCAAGGCAGGCAUCCAAGGAAAUCUUUUGCAGAAUAAUAGGAAGGAAAGAACAAAGGAGGUAUGCGAGUUCAAGGUAUUUGGAGUAACUUUUCAGUUUUUAUUCUUGUAUGGUGGUCCAAAACAUGCUUAAUGGAGGAGACUAGAGAAAUUUAAGAAAGUGAAAUAGUUUUUGAGUAGAGAAGCAAGGGAAAUGACUAAGAAAGCAAUCAUAUAAACUCCUAAUAAGAGCUUUGUUUCCUCAAUGGUGUGUCCCAAGUGCCUAGCAUA
rnacentral:lncRNA from 1 species